UACCCGCAGCACAAGUGGUGGUCAUUAUUAUUGGGCCUAAAGCGUCCGUAGCUGGCCUGUUAGAUGCCUGGGUAAAUCGGUGCGCUCAACGUAUCGAACUCCGGGUAGACCGGCAGGCUCGAGACCGGGAGAGGUGUAGGCUACUCGCGGGGUAGGGGUAAAAUCCUGUAAUCCUGCGGGGAGGACCAGUGGCGAAGGCGCUACACUAGAACGGCUCUGACAGUGAGGGACGAAGCCCUGGGGCGCAAACCGG
rnacentral:rRNA from 1 species